GAAUCGCGAUAGGAAUUGCGAAUUGCAGAAUUCAGUGAAUCAUCGUAACUUUGAACGCAAACUGCGCUUGGGGGUUAACCCUGAGCAUGCCUCUUUGAGUGUCGGUCAUAAAAUCUCUUUGAUUUUUCUCAGAUUCAAGAUUUCUCAGAUUUCGACGACUGUGAGGAUGAAAAAGAGGAAGAUGAGGUGUUUGAGAAAUCCCUCCAAGUACCGAGUUUUUGAUCUCUUGUUGAUCAAUCUAGUCAUAAGCGAGUGGAGCUAAAUGUUUUCACAAGCGACUAAUUGUUUGAUAAGAGAUUAUAUAAAGACUCUAAUCUUUCAAGACCAACGACCUCAAAUGAGGUAGGAUCACCCGCUGAACUUAA
rnacentral:misc_RNA from 1 species